UAUUGACGUAAUCGGAGAGACAACCCCCAGUGUUUUGACCAAGAUCAACGUCUCAAUGGGUUUUUUCUCUUACGAGGGAGGAAGAGUCGUCCGGUGUAACAGGGUGGAAAAGUGGCGUACUUUCAGAGGAAAAGCGCCAAAGCAUUAGGAUCAGAUUUCAAGUGGAGCGCAGUGUUUAUUCCCUCUGCGCUCCGCUCCCUUUUAAGGAUGCCAAUAACAUAUAAAGUGAAAAAAAAGAAAGAGGAGUAUUCAGGGGAAAAGGAUGAGUGAUGCGGGGGCUGGUGCGGUAGGUUCCGGUCUCGUCUGCGUUUGCCGUGUUAGUUUUUACAGGCAAGUAAGUUGACUUGCUGUGUAUAAACAUUUAAUCUACAACUUACAUGUUAUAUAAGACCAUUAUUUUAUAAUACGACAUAUAUAUGGACAAAAGCGUCUGCUGAAUAAAAGUAAUCUAACAAACGUAGCAUGCGGAUGUUGUGUGGGGGCGUCAUUAGUUCCUCUUUUGAGCAACGAUUAUUUAUUGAAUAUUAAUAAUGAAUGUUUCUGGAUCUAUGGUAUUUUUAGGAAGCCGUUGUAAAAUCUCAUAAUCCUGACUUCGGAUAUUUUGGUUCCAUCUAGUAUUUAUAUGCCUUGGUAGCUACCGCGCUGCUGUCGGAAACUGGCGUCGGUCUUUGACAGCUGAGUCUGUUCUCGUGCGGCGGAGCCUGUGAGGGCGGCCGCCUCUGCCCCGUCUGGCCGAGCUGAUAUGCCUGCAUGAGCUGCAAACCCCAAAGACCAACCUAGCCCGUAGCUUUGGGAGAAAAAAAGCAGGAUUUUGUUCUCCCAUUCACUAUGGGAGCCGAUACUGACAGGCGUGGAUGACAUGGACCCCAUGGCCUGGGUGCUGAAGAGUGGACAGCAGUCAUGGACAGGAACAUGAUCGCAGGAAAUUACUCUUUCAUCGCAGUAAGGUGUCAGCCAUGUGUCCUACAUGCCGUCCCCUGCAAAUAUGGAGGGUGUAUGUAACAUUAGACAGGCAUGCAGUGUUUCAGUAUUCUGGACCUUUUGCACAAUUUUAAAGAAUGUUGAAAAUAUUUUCAAAUAUGCAAUGAAAUUUUGUCAGUAAUUAUGAAGUAAACCAUGCAUUGUAUUGGUAAAUUUGAUUGCAAUCGGUGACUGACCUGGGCUUCAAACUUGGUUGUAUUUUUUUGAAUGUGGAUUCUUUAGAAAUAAACAAAUUUGUAUUUGCUUUUUACAUGUAUAUUGAAAAAACGUCACCUGUGUUAGUGCUUUCAAGUGACACUAAACUAAUGGCACUAAUCACAAUACUACUGUUAUUACAGACAUUACAGACAAAAAUCCCCCUAUAGCCUACUGUGGAAUGUUUCCAUCUUUGAAGCUUAAUAAACAAUGAGCAUUAGAAUACGUCUAAUCUACAGUGUGCAUUGUCGAUAUGGAUAUUUCUUGUCUGUAUAAAUUUUGAGUAUUUAUUAUUAUGUAGUAAAGGUAUCAUAAAAUAUACCUUUAUUAUAUAUAUAUAUAUAUAUAUAUAUGUAUAUAUAUAUGUGUAUAUAUAUAUAUGUAUAUAUAUGUAUGUAUGUAUGUAUGUAUGUAUGUAUAUAUAUAUAUGUAACCCCAAGUUAAGUUAUGUCAAAGUGAAUACUGUUGUCUAUUUUGUAAAAUGUAUUAGACAGUAUCCUAAUGCUCAGAAGUCGUUUUCAACAUGUUGAAUGCAGAAGUAAGCAGGAAUAAAGAUCUGAUUGGCUCUGAUGCGAGAUGUGAAUGAGGGCUAUCCUGUGUGGUACAAACCAAUAGAAGAGCUACUAUGGCACGAAUUGCAGAUAAUCCUGAUCAUCAUGGGAGUAAUGUGCCACAGUCAGACUUGUCGGUCCUGCCCAUCCCACAGACACGUAUGCAACCGCCCACGUGAUGCAACAGAAAACAGGAUUUAUUGGACCAGGAGACCUUCCCAUGCUCUAAGGUUGGCACUUUUGUGCUGAUCUCCGUGGUAGACAGGGGUCAGCACAGACAUUCUGACUGGCCUGCUCAUGCGAAUCAGGGCUCUGUGUGUUCAUGGUUAUCUCCUCCUUGCACCACUUUUAGUAGCUUCUCAUCAUCAUGACCAUGAGCACCAUAAGCUUCGCCAUUUUCUAAAUACUCUGGCCCAAUUGUCUGGCCAUAGUGAUUUUGUCCUUGUCAAAGUUACUCAAAUCUUAAAUCCCUGCCCCAUGUCUCCUGCCUUCAACAUGUUGACUACGAGUACUGAAUAUUAUUUUACCAGCUAAUUUAUCCCAGACCAUGACACACAUCAUUUUAACUAGAUGGUCGACAUUAUAGCGAUCACCACCAGCACAUGGCCAAAUAUUGACUUCUAAUGCUUUUUAAAAUAUUGGCAUAGCCAGUGAGGAAGAAAUUCAAAUAACUUAUAUUGCUUAAGUUCCAUAGCUCUGCAGUCAGGAUAUAGAUGGGUGAAUGUAGCAUGUACAAAGAAUUAUGUGAUAAUUUGGGGAUAUUUAUGCCGUGUUUUCCCAUAGGCAAAGUUUUGAGAGGUUUUCAUUCCCAGUUCUCGAACUCUUCACUGUGUACAUACUGUCCAGCUCAUUUUCACCUGUUAAUAAUUCUGACUAAGUGCUUAAGCGCUUAGUCAGAAGGAAUAUAUGGACAGACAGCUGACUAGAACUAGGAAUGAAGACUUCUGAAACAAAUGGUAACUGAUGGCAUACAAAAAUAUCAAGCAAAAGAAAUUAUGAAUUCGAUCAUAACUCUCAUAGUGAAGUCAAUUUUGACGACUGUAUUCUGUUAUCAGGAGAGUAAAUUGAGUGAUUGCGGACUCAGUACGUGGACAAAAGAUAUGUCCUAACAGAAGUAUAUAUGUCCCCAUUUGGACUUCUGUGUUAAAUAUAAUGUUUCAAUAUUUUUGUUUUAACAGUAAAUGAAGGCAGCCUGUAAAUGUCAACCAUCUCUAGUCAAGCCUUUGAUGAUACUGAAAGCUAAAACAUAUACUGUCAAUUGAGUUUUGAAUGUGCAAGGACAGCAUUGUAACUGUGAAAUAUGGUGUUAAUAGAUGGGUAUUAAAACGGAUCUCAGAAUUUUGAGACACACUGCCCUCGUCCUCCAGCUUAAGUUGUUGAAUAUUAAACAUAUAAAUUACGACCAUGAAAAUGUCCCAGAAAUAAAACCUUACCAUUUACUCAU